rnacentral:misc_RNA from 1 species
GGAAGGAUCAUUGAAUCUAUCAACAACCACACCAAUUUAUCGUGAACCAAUUAUAAAGGUCGGCCCCUUUCUGUCAAAGGAAAGCGUGAGCCAUGGGUUUUGGGUGUAAGAAGCCUGGAGCCCAUGGCGCAGGGCUGUGUCACUUAAAACCUGACGUCGGCCCGGCCCUUUCAUUAACCAACAACACCAAACCAAACCAAUCUGAAGCAAUCAGUGUAGCCGGCUUGGCCGUCCUACACGUCUAACCAAGACAACUCUCAACAACGGAUAUCUUGGCUCUCGCAACGAUGAAGAACGCAGCGAAAUGCGAUACGUAGUGUGAAUUGCAGAAUUCCGUGAAUCAUCAAGUCUUUGAACGCAUAUUGCGCUCGAGGCUUCGGCCGAGAGCAUGUCUGCCUCAGCGUCGAUGUAUCCCUCAUCCCAACCCCACACACUUAUACUGUGUGCUGUUGGCAUGGACCUGGCUGUCCCGGUAUACCAUGCUCACGCUAACAAUGCCGGGUCUGCUGAAGCAUAGAGGCUAAUCAAGGACCCUCACAUGGGCCGCAUCUAGGUAGGCAGCAUCACUGCCUACAUAUUUAGGUGUUGGCUUGGUUGUUGAUUGUUUGCCCUCAAACAGGAACCUUACCACUUACAUUUUCGACCUGAGCUCAGGCAAGAACACCCGCUGAACUUAAGCAUAUCAAUAAGCGGAGGAAAAGAAACUAACCAGGAUUCCCCUAGUAACGGCGAGUGAACCGGGAAUAGCCCAACGUGAAAAUCUCUUCGGAGAAUUGUAGUCUAUAGAAGCGCCCUCUGUAGCGGCGGGACCCCAAGUCUGGUGGAAGCCAGCGUCAGAGAGGGUGACAACCCCGUCGGGUCCACGCUUAGCUGCUUCACGAGGUGCUUUCCACGAGUCGGGUUGUUUGGGAAUGCAGCCCAAAAUUGGAGGUAAAUCCCUUCUAAGGCUAAAUACUGGCGAGAGACCGAUAGCGAACAAGUACCGUGAGGGAAAGAUGAAAAGAACUUUGAAAAGAGAGUUAAAAAGUGCUUGAAAUUGUUGAGGGGGAAGCGCUUGCAAGACGUGGGUGCGCCUAGGCUUACGCGUCUCUAACGAGGCGCUGCAUGUGCUAGGUGCUGGUCAGCAUGGGUUCGUCGGCCGGGAUAACCGCGGGGGUUGAUACCCCGUCUAUGCCGUCUGGUGGACCAAGGUGUGAAUGGCGCUCUGUCCUUCGGGAACUGCGUCAUCAAGAUGCUGGCAGAAGUCUUGCAAUCGGCCCGUCUUGAAACACGGACCAAGGAGUCCAACAUGUAUGCGAGUUGGUGGGUGGCAAACCCAUGAAGCGCAAGUAACCUGACUUUUGGUGGGAAGGGUAAAACCUGCACCAUCGACCGACCAUGAGCUUUUGCGAAAGGUUUGAGUGCGAGCAUACCUGUUGGGACCCGAAAGAUGGUGAACUAUGCCUGAGCAGGGUGAAGCCAGAGGAAACUCUGGUGGAGGCUCGUAGAUGUGCUGACGUGCAAAUCGCUUUUCGGACUUGGGUAUAGGGGCGAAAGACUAAUCGAACCAUCUAGUAGCUGGUUCCCUC